CGUGAACCUUUACUAUAGCUUAACAUUGAUAUUAGGUAAUUCAUGUGUAGGAUAGGUGGGAGACUUCGAAGCAGCAUCGCUAGGUGUUGUGGAGUCGUCCUUGAAAUACCACCCUAUAUUACUUGAAAUCCUAACCUACUGUCGUAAUCCGGCAGGGGGACAAUGUCUGGUGGGCAGUUUGACUGGGGCGGUCGCCUCCCAAAGUGUAACGGAGGCGCGCGAAGGUCCUCUCAGCCGGAUUGGAAACCCGGCGACGAGUGCAAUGGCAUAAGAGGGCUUGACUGCGAGACCGACAGGUCGAGCAGGUGGGAAACCAGGUCAUAGUGAUCCGGUGGUUCCGAAUGGAA
rnacentral:rRNA from 18 species